AGUCCGGCGAACUCCCUGGUGGCUGCCUAGCUGCCCGCCCGGGCCUCUCCCGACGAGGGUGGCCCUGAGGCUCGCCUUUGUCCUGGAGGCUAGGCAGCGACCAAGGCUCCCCCGUUUUUCGCUGACGGUUCUAGUUCAGCCUCCUCACGCGCCUCCGGGAGCCCCAGUGCUCACCUGGGCGGCGGCGGUCACACCCGAUAACUGACAGGCCCGCAGCAUCUCGGUCAAGCGGACGGCGCUGCUGGUGGACUCGAGCUGCCGCGGCGGCGCGAGUUAAGUGGAGGCGUGCUUGCGUGUGUGCGUGCCCGCGUCCGCGCCCGGCGCACCGGAAGCACAGCGGACGCCACUGCGCACGCGCGGCCCCUUCUACCGUCCCCGACUCCGCGGCUCUUAGAGGGUGGGCUGUGUCCCGGCUGCGGAAACGCCAACUCCAGGCGAUUGGCGCGAAGGAGGCGAAAAGGGCGGAUUCCCUUUCCGGGUCGCGCCCGGGCUGCAGGUCCUUAUCCGGAAGGGGUUACUAGGUGAACACUGCCGGAGGGAGAGCGCUCUGAAAUCCAUUCUUCAGCCGCACGUGGAAAAUGGACAGCUGUGACUCUUAAAGAGAAUUAAAGCAACAAAGCAUCUCAGCCUGCUCUAUGAGCUGGAUAUUUCGUAGGAAGGAGCCGAUUUGGCGAAAGUUACGUAAACAAUGGAAUUGUCUCAGUUUGCGCCUUUGUUUCGUUUGACAGCCCUCCAGGGAGUCAUAGUGAUUGCUGGAGACGGUGAACUAACACUGUGGGGACCCUUGUGCUAAACGUGUCAAGUGGCACAACAAGGAUAGGAACACGGGUCCUUUGGACUCCACAGCUUCUGCUCCUUCCAGAUUAAGCCACACUGCUUUCUCCAAGUUGUUACUGUAGUAACAUCAUUUUGGCUGCAGUUUGUGGAUGGGUUGGAAGAUGGGAAGUCAAUGCAGAAGCACCGUUGAAAGUAUUCCACUGGGCAGGGCGCGGUGGCUCACGCUUGUAAUCCCAGUACUUCGGGAGGCCGAAGCGGGAGGAUCGCUUGAGCCCAGAGGUUCGAUACCAGGCUGGGCAACACAGUGAGACCUCGUCUCUAUAUAGAAAAAUAAACAAACAAAAAAUUUAAAAAGAAAAGUAGGGCCAGGAGCUAUGACUCACGCCUGUAAUCCCAGCACUUUGGGAGGCCAAGGCGGGUGGAUCGCCUGAGGUCAGGAAUUCGAGACCAGCCUGGCCAAAAUAGUGAAACCCCGUCUUUACUAAAAAUACAAAAAAUUAGCUGGGCAUGGUGGCGGGUGCCUGUAAUCCCAGCUACUCGGGAGGCUGAGGCAGGAGAAUUGCUUGAGCCCGGGAGGCGGAGGUUGCAGUGAGCCGAGAUCACGCCAUUGCACUCCAGCCUGGGCAACAAGAGCGAAACUCUGUCUCAAAAAACAAAAGUAUUCCAUUGAUUCUGUAAUCAAAAUAAAACACGUUAAAUAUUAAGCAUGGUAUUAAUACUCCAUGUAUACUCCAGAAUUAAUAUGUUCGUAUUAAUACUAUUAGCAUCUUAUUGCAAUAUCGUGGAAACUAACUUUUCUAUCUUCUAUUGGAUUUGCAAAGUAUUCCAAGUCUUAACUGGGUAAUUUAUUACAAUAUGUAUUCUCUCUAGAGGUAGACUGCGCUAUGACUUGUAGCAUGGAGAGAUGGACUUGAAAAUUAUCUGAAAGCAAUAGUUAUGUUUGUAUAUGUUCUAUGUUCUAUGGUUUUUAGGGGACUACAGUA
rnacentral:lncRNA from 10 species